rnacentral:rRNA from 1 species
UACGUAGGGUGCGAGCGUUAAUCGGAAUUACUGGGCGUAAAGCGUGCGCAGGCGGCUUUGCAAGACAGAUGUGAAAUCCCCGGGCUCGACCUGGGAACUGCAUUUGUGACUGCAAGGCUAGAGUACGGUAGAGGGGGAUGGAAUUCCGCGUGUAGCAGUGACAUGCGUAGAUAUGCGGAGGAACACCGAUGGCGAAGGCAAUCCCCUGGACCUGUACUGACGCUCAUGCACGAAAGCGUGGGGAGCAAACAGG